UACGAAGGGGGGCGAGCGUUGUUCGGAAUUACUGGGCGUAAAGGGCGCGCAGGCGGCUCAGACAGUCAGAUGUGAAAGCCCCCGGGCUUAACCUGGGAACUGCAUUUGAUACUACUGAGCUUGAGUACGGGAGAGGAUAGUGGAAUUCCCAGUGUAGAGGUGAAAUUCGUAGAUAUUGGGAAGAACACCGGUGGCGAAGGCGGAUCUCUGGACAGGAACUGACACUGAGGCACGAAGGCCAGGGGAGCAAACGGG
rnacentral:rRNA from 1 species